AAAUUUGACAGUUCUGUUUUCUCAAGUCAAAAAUCUUAAUCUUACUUUUACAAGUGAUUAGGAUUAUUAUUAUUAUUUUAUUUACAUGUAAAUUGAAACAAUAAAUAUUGUGCUGUGUCAUAAUUUCAAACUCAUUAUGUUGCAGUCUUUUCCAGUUGAUAAAAUUGCAAUUCAAAAACUUUUAGAUUUGCACUGUAUGGAUGGCACAGGAAGAGAACAAAGAGUACAAGAACAUGAAACAUCUUAUUAUAGAAUGUAUAUGUAUGUGAUCCUCAAAAAAUUAUUUUACAAAACAAGAUAGAGAAAGAGCUUUAAAAUCCCAAGGAUCCUGCAAAAUGUUUAUUUGGUGUACUAGUCGAAUAAUAGUAUCUAAAAAUAUUGAAACUAUUUUAAAAUACAUUACGGGCAUGAGGAUGAUAUAGAGCACUUACAUAAAUACCAAAAUCAGAUAAAUAUCUCUUCAAAGUUUAUGUUGAGACUUUCUUCAAAAAUUAAACUUCAGACUGUUCAGGAUAGCAUAAUAGCAUAGGAGGCGAAUUAAAAAGAAUUGAUUUACUUACAAAGAAAAGAUAUCACAAACAUUAAACUCUCUUAUGGCAUUGAUUUGAAAGAUGGGUAUAUGUACAAUGAUGAUGCAACCAGUGUUUAUUUUUGGGUUGAAUGCUUACAGACUUAUGUCCAAUAUUAUUUUACAAACAACAGGGCAUACUAAUGGAUAUUCAUUCUGAAUUUAACAUUUAUGAUUUUUGUCUUAUUUUCCUUAAUACUGUGCCAAAAGGAAAUGUUAAUUAAGUUUGGUAAAUCCUGUAUCGCAAUCGAUGGAACUCAUGGGCUCAAUUCCUAUGACUUUGAACUUAUGACAGUAUUAGUAAAAGAUGAAUUUGGGAAUGGAUUUUGUACUGCUUUCUUAUUUUCAAAUAGAAAAGAUACCUACUUUAAUUUACCAAUUUUUUUAAAUACAUGUCUGUGUUAGUAUUAUAGUCAAAUGUUUUCAUAUCAGGCAUAAGCGACACCUUUUACAAUGCCUCGUCAAAUGUAAUGGGUAUUGCUCCUAAUAGACUGUUAAGUGCCUGGCACAUAGAUAGGGCAGUAAAACACUUAUGGUAAGUAAAUCUUAAUAAAAUAUCUGAUUCUGAAAAAAAUCCUAUUAUGUAUACAAGAUGUAUUAAUGAUGGUUUAGAGAGUAUUAAUAGCUUUUUGGGUAGACUUCUAAGUGAUGCAGAUACAUACAAUUUUAGUAAGUAUUUCCAGUAGAACUACUGCAAUAACAUCCAACAAUGGGCCUAUUGUUAUAGGAAGGGGUUGUGGAAUUAAUACCAAUAUGACCAUUCAAAAUUUUCAUAAAAUUUUGGAUAAAAGGGUAUCCAUUAGUUGUUAUCAGUUAAGUUUAAAACUUGGCACUCAUGGAGAGCUAAACCAUAAUAUAUAAUAGGUAUAUCUCAUAAUAUUACAUCUCAUAUUGCUCACUCAUUACAAUAGUGAGCAAUAUGAGAUAUAACAUAUUAUAGUAUAAGUCUCUGUGCAUGACCAGAUUAACACGUUUGGUACCCAUCUCGAACAAGCUCCACUUGGCUGGUACCACAUAGUUAAAUCAUUUAUUUAGUUACACAGUACUACUCACAUAACUUAUGUGUCGUCAGUACCUUCCGUAAAACCUUCGUGAUGCUACCCAUACGUCAUGGCCACUGAAUGUGUUAAAGCUUGUUAAUGUAGGAGAGUUAUACUAAAAUAUAUAUCGCCUAUUAUAUUGCCUUAAAUAGAAAAAUACCUUAUUUAAAUUGUAUCCAUGUAAGU
rnacentral:lncRNA from 1 species